AAUCAACGCUGGCGGCGUGCCUAACACAUGCAAGUCGAACGCGAAAGCCCCGCAAGGGGCAAGUAGAGUGGCAAACGGGGUGAGUAACGCGUGGGGUGACCUACCUUGGAGUGGGGGGAUAACGUUCCGAAAGGGACGCUAAUACCGCAUGACAUCCUGCCUUUGAACAGGCGGAGAUCAAAGCCUGGGACCGCAAGGCCAGGCGCUUGAAGAGGGGGCCCGCGUCCGAUUAGCAGUUGGCGAGGUAACGGCUCACCAAGGCGACGAUCGGUAGCCGGCCUAAGAGGGCGGACGGCCACACUGGGACUGAGACACGGGCCCAGACUCCUACGGGAGGCAGCAGUGGGGAAUUGUUCGCAAUGGGCGCAAGCCUGACGACGCAACGCCNCGUGGAGGACGAAGAUCUUGGGUCGUAAAACUCCUGUCGAGCGGGACGAAUGACCCGCGGGUG
rnacentral:rRNA from 1 species